GACGGAGGAUGCAAGCGUUAUCCGGAAUGAUUGGGCGUAAAGCGUCUGUAGGUGGCUUUUUAAGUCCGCCGUCAAAUCCCAGGGCUCAACCCUGACAGGCGGUGGAAACUACCAAGCUGGAGUACGGUAGGGCAGAGGGAAUUUCCGGUGGAGCGGUGAAAUGCGUAGAGAUCGGAAAAGACACCAACGGCGAAAGCAACUCUGCUGGGCCGACACUGACACUGAGAGACGAAAAGCUAGGGGAGCGAA
rnacentral:rRNA from 1 species